rnacentral:rRNA from 1 species
AUGCGCCUAAUCAGAAAAACUUUUCUUAUUCGUCUUUUUCUAUCUUCCCACUCAUCUCCACUAUACCCCUAGUCUUCUAAUUCCUUCCAUUCGACCAAAGAAUUCUCUAUAAUAAUUCGCAAAUCCAAAUCUGCUAAUUGUUCUCUAAUAGCACCUGCUCCUGCCGCAAUUUACCGAUUUCGAAAUGCGAUCAGCGAAAGCGAACCCUUCAGUACAUCGCGUUCAGCCCUCCCUCAAAAUCCCAUUUGUUUUAUUGAGUAA